AUUUCAGACAUAAUUUAAUGCAUCUUCUGUCGGAUCUGAAAUCAUGUAAUCCACCAGUUGCCCGAAUGUUAGCAGAACAGAUAUUUGACAAUGCUAUGAUAGCAGCAGGUUUGGUCACAGACCCAAGAAACAUGCUAGGACGACUGAAUACAUUAUUGGAGCGUGUGUUAACACAAGAAAAGUGAUGAGAUGUCUGUAUACUUUACUGCAGCAUAAUAUGUUAAUCCAAGAAAAGUGAUAAAAGGCAUCUGAAUACCUUACUACAGCAUAAUAGGUUAAUCCAAGAAAAAGGUUAGGAUGAUGAACUACAUUACUGCAGCCUGUUUUAACACAAGAAAAGUGAUAAGAUGUCUGUAUACCUUACUACAUAUAUAAGUGUUCCAACAAAUAUGCUUGGAUUGUUUGAUACAUUUCCUUAGUAUGUUUAUAACUAUCAUUGCAUAUGCUGUAAAAUAUUGUUAUAGAUUUAAUACCUUUAAAUUAUAGAUUUGGUCCACCUUAUGAAUUAUUAACUUCAUCUUAUGAAAUACAUUACAUUAUGGAUUAGCUUAAUCUUAUCGAUUAGCUUUACCUUAUGGAUUAACAGCUUCACUUUGUGAAUUAGUUUUACUUGAUUAGCCUCACCUUAUAGGAUUACAGAUAAGAAAGUAUAAUACAUACUCCAAGUAUUGAAAUACACGAUGGCGUGUAUUUCAAUACUUGGAGUAUGUAUUAUACUUUCUUAUAGGAUUACCCUUCUUUAAUAUAUUGGUUAUUGCAGAUCAAAUUAAACUACCUAAAAGUAAUCAUGAUAAUCAAAUAUGUUAGUAAGCAAUAGUAUUGACUGCUUCUAUAGUUUUAUCAACCUAUGACAUUAAGCGAACCUACAGGUAAUAAAGUAAUAUUUCUGUGGAAUAAAUACUAGUGUUUCAAAGUUUAAGUUCUAUCAGAGUAUUUGUUAUAUAUAUUGAAAUUGACUUUGCUGUGAAGCACCCAGUGGCAGCGGCAACCGGAAAAAGGGUCAGAGUUCUCCAACGGACAGGCUAAGCCCACAUCAGCAAACCAAGCAAGAAUAACAAUUGUUUUUAAUAUUCUCAGAACAACCAGAAAUUGCCCAGUUUUCUAGACGCCAAGGGACCAUAAACCUUGACUUUUACCAAAUCCUCCGCUGUAGAUCCUGCAGGUCUCUGUCAGUAAUUAUCAGACACUCCCUCAAACCCCCCCCCCCCCAGUCUAGUAAAAUUUGAUACAAUAAAAUGUAUUACAGAAUAGCAUGAUAUUAAAAAAAUAGUAGAACUUAUGUUUAACAUCCCACAGAAACAGGACUAUUUGUAGGUCAGAAAGACUGGGUCUGCCUUUGCACAGAAUACCAGCAUAUAUAUGUCAAAUAAAUAUUCA